rnacentral:rRNA from 1 species
AUGAUACACGGAUAUUCCACGUUGGGCCGGUGGAAAGAAACGGGCAAAAUGUUCAGAGAAAUGACAAGCCGGGGUAUCAUACCAGAUGUUGUUAGUUGGACCUCAUUCAUGACCUCCCUCUGCAAGCAUGGAAGAAGCAGAGAAGCUACUGGAAUUAUUGAUUACAUGUCUGCCAAGGGCCACAAGCCUAAUAUUGUCUCGUACUCUAUUCUGUUUCAUGGAUAUGCUACAGAAGGAUGCUUUGAUGAUAUGAUUAAUCUCCUUGACUCAAUGGCAACCAACGGUAUUGUUCCCAAUCGCCAGAUUUUCAGCAUUUUAGUUGAUGCGUAUGCUAAACGUGGAAUGAUGGAUGAAGCUAUGCUCAUAUUUACUGGAAUGUGGGAACAAGGAGUGAUCCCAGAUGUAUCCAGAUGGGGACAAGGAGUGAGUCCAGAGUCUACAAUUUUUAGGCUGGCUGAUGCUUUGAACAAGUUCAGUCAGAUGAUUUCUAUUGAUAUAAAACCGGACACAGUUGUUUAUCACUCCCUAAUUCAGGGUUUCUGCACACAUGGCGAUUUGGUGAAAGCAAAGGAGUUGGUUUAUGAAAUGAUAAACAAAUACAUUCCACCUCCUACCGUUGUGUUCUUCAGUUCAAUAAUAAAUAGUCUAUGCAAAGAAGGAAGGGUUACAGAUGCACAAGAUAUCUUCAACUUGGUUGUUGAAAUAGGUGAGAGUCCUGAUGUCUUUGCUUUUACUUCACUACUUGACAGAUAUUGCCUAGUCGGCAAAAUGGAGAAAGCAUCACAAGUUUUGAUGCAAUGGUAUCAGCUGGCAUUGAGCCUAAUGCAUCCACCUAAAGCGUAA